rnacentral:lncRNA from 1 species
CAGGGUAAGGAUUAUUACUAGUUAUGAAGAGAAGCAGAGAUUUUUUGUCACUCCAGUUAUACAAUUACAACUUUGUAAAACAUCACUAAACAAGAAUAAUAGUUUAAACAGUUGUAAAAGACAGAAGAACAAUAAUAAAAUGUUCACUAUACACAAAUACACACACAGAAACGUGUGUGUCUAUGUAUGUACAUAUGUAUGAUGGUGUGAGUGUAAAAAAUAUAUAUAGUUAUACAUGUGUGUGUGUGUGUGUGUGUGUCAGAACCUCCAGCCUAUUGAUGUCUCAGAUGUCUCAGAUAUCUGUGUAUUCCCACAGCUGACCAGCCACACCCAGAGGAGGAUCCAGCAGUCUCUGGACCUCCACCUGCUAAGCAUGUGCACAAGUUCCAGUAUGGCCUCUGGAGCUGGCGGAAGAGUCAUCCAGUCUACUCCGUAGGAAAUCUCCUACCAUCUUCCAGCCAUGAUUUACAGGCGGAGGAAUGUCUGGCAUGCACUCAAGACACCUCCUGUGUACUGCAGCCUGAUAGCUUGCCCGCUGGAUGUGUUUAUGCAAGGAGUCUUUGUUUGGAGAGCGCUCACUGUGUCACAUCCAGAAAAGGCAUGCAGACCUACAAGGGCAUCACAUUUGUCUUCGCCAAGAUGGGCAUGUAGCUUGGUAAUGUCAGUAAUGUGUGUGUCUCUCCCCUUGGCUGUAUGGAAAUGGAGGUGGCCAUCAAUGUGGCUGCAGAAAGCUAGAGCCAGCACAAAGACAUUGGUGUCUGGGCUCUUGAUUACCAGGUCAUGGCUGUGUUUGGCUGCAUGGGCUGCACGCAGAAUCAUUCUGGUGUCUGCCUCCUCUUGA